GGCUCAGGAUGAACGCUAGCGGGAGGCUUACACAUGCAAGUCGAGGGGCAGCACGGGAUAGCAAUAUUCUGGUGGCGACCGGCGCACGGGUGAGUAACACGUAUGUAACCUACCUUGUACUGGGGGAUAGCCCGGAGAAAUUCGGAUUAAUACCCCAUGAUUAUAUAGAAAGGCAUCUUUUUAUAUUUAAAGCUUCGACGGUACAGGAUGGGCAUGCGCAACAUUAGCUAGUUGGUAGGGUAACGGCCUACCAAGGCUACGAUGUUUAGGGGACCUGAGAGGGUGAUCCCCCACACUGGUACUGAGACACGGACCAGACUCCUACGGGAGGCAGCAGUGAGGAAUAUUGGUCAAUGGGCGCAAGCCUGAACCAGCCAUCCCGCGUGCAGGAAGACGGCGCUAUGCGUUGUAAACUGCUUUUCCAGGGAAAGAAAACCCCCGACGUGUCGGGGCUUGCCGGUACCCUGGGAAUAAGCAUCGGCUAACUCCGUGCCAGCAGCCGCGGUAAUACGGAGGAUGCGAGCGUUAUCCGGAUUUAUUGGGUUUAAAGGGUGCGUAGGCGGAUUAAUAAGUCAGUGGUGAAAACCUUCAGCUUAACUGGAGACUUGCCAUUGAUACUGUUAGUCUUGAGUACGGUCAAGGUAGGCGGAAUGUGUAAUGUAGCGGUGAAAUGCUUAGAUAUUACACAGAACACCGAUUGCGAAGGCAGCUUACUGGGCCAUUACUGACGCUGAUGCACGAAAGCGUGGGGAGCGAACAGGAUUAGAUACCCUGGUAGUCCACGCCGUAAACGAUGAUCACUCGCUGUUAGCGAUACACAGUUAGCGGCUAAGCAAAAGCAUUAAGUGAUCCACCUGGGGAGUACGGCCCGCAGGCUGAA
rnacentral:rRNA from 1 species